UACGAAGGGGGGCUAGCGUUGCUCGGAAUCACUGGGCGUAAAGGGUGUGUAGGCGGUUCUUUUAAGUUUGCUGUGAAAUCUCCCGGCUUAACCGGGAGGGUGCGGUGAAUACUGAGGGACUAGAGUACGGGAGAGGAAAGUGGAAUUCCUGGUGUAGCGGUGAAAUGCGUAGAUAUCAGGAGGAACACCGGUGGUGUAGACGGCUUUCUGGACCGUAACUGACGCUGAGACACGAAAGCGUGGGUAGCAAACAGG
rnacentral:rRNA from 1 species